GUUUCAUCCAUUUUUACUGUUAAAAACUGAUAUUGUUGACAGAAUAACCAGACAUUUACAUUUGGUGUGCCAUGUCUAACUCAUUCUAACAUACAAGACCAAUUUUUAACAGUAGAAAUGGAUGGAUU
rfam:Gossypium hirsutum cultivar TM-1 unplaced genomic scaffold scaffold712.1, whole genome shotgun sequence